UGCGUAACGCGUAUGCAACCUACCAUCAACAGGGGGAUAACACUGAGAAAUUGGUACUAAUACCCCAUAAUAUCUCAUGCGGCAUCGCAUGGGGUUGAAAACUCCGGUGGUUGAUGAUGGGCAUGCGUUGUAUUAGCUGGUUGGUGAGGUAACGGCUCACCAAGGCGACGAUACAUAGGGGGACUGAGAGGUUAACCCCCCACAUUGGUACUGAGACACGGCCCAGACUCCUACGGGAGGCAGCAG
rnacentral:rRNA from 1 species